GACGAACGCUGGCGGCGUGCUUAACACAUGCAAGUCGAACGGAAAGGCCCUGCUUUUGUGGGGUGCUCGAGUGGCGAACGGGUGAGUAACACGUGAGUAACCUGCCCUUGACUUUGGGAUAACUUCAGGAAACUGGGGCUAAUACCGGAUAGGAGCUCCUGCUGCAUGGUGGGGGUUGGAAAGUUUCGGCGGUUGGGGAUGGACUCGCGGCUUAUCAGCUUGUUGGUGGGGUAGUGGCUUACCAAGGCUUUGACGGGUAGCCGGCCUUGGAGGGUGACCGGCCACAUUGGGACUGAGAUACGGCCCAGACUCCUACUGGAGGCAGCAGGGGGGAAUAUUGCACAGUGGGGGGAAGCCUGAUGCAGCAACGCCGCGUGCGGGAUGACGGCCUUCGGGUUGUAAACCGCUUUCGCCUGUGACGAAGCGUGAGUGACGGUAAUGGGUAAAGAAGCACCGGCUAACUACGUG
rnacentral:rRNA from 1 species